CCUACGGGGGGCUGCAGUGGGGAAUAUUGGACAAUGGGGGCAACCCUGAUCCAGCCAUGCCGCGUGUGUGAAGAAGGCCCUCGGGUUGUAAAGCACUUUCAGUGAGGAAGAACGCCUGGUGGUGAAUACCCAUCAGGAAAGACAUCACUCACAGAAGAAGCACCGGCUAACUCCGUGCCAGCAGCCGCGGUAAUACGGAGGGUGCGAGCGUUAAUCGGAAUUACUGGGCGUAAAGCGCGCGUAGGUGGCUUGAUAAGCCGGUUGUGAAAGCCCCGGGCUCAACCUGGGAACGGCAUCCGGAACUGUCAAGCUAGAGUGCAGGAGAGGAAGGUAGAAUUCCCGGUGUAGCGGUGAAAUGCGUAGAGAUCGGGAGGAAUACCAGUGGCGAAGGCGGCCUUCUGGACUGACACUGACACUGAGGUGCGAAAGCGUGGGUAGCAAACAGGAUUAGAUACCCGUGUAGUC
rnacentral:rRNA from 1 species